GGCCGCCAUACCUGAAAUCCUUGCCCGUCUGAAGGUGACCCUUGACAGGAAGGACCAGUGGUCGUUUUAUGGGCACCUCACCGUGUACCUAGCCUGCAUCUACGGGCAUCGCAGUGGGGUGUUCCAAAACAUGACCAUUGGGGAGGUGGAGGCAGCGCGCCAGGCCGCCAUGGACGGGUGCUAUGCGAUUAAUAUAUCCACCCACAAGACCAACCAGGCGUUCGGGGCCGCUCAGCUGGCCGUGACCGAUAGGGAGUACGCCUGGAUGACGGAGUUCCUGGCCAUGAGGGAAGAGCUAGUGGGCGGUG